rnacentral:rRNA from 1 species
CCCUUAGAUGUUCUGGGCCGCACGCGCGCUACACUGAUGCAUUCAACGAGCCUAUCCUUGACCGACAGGUCCGGGUAAUCUUUGAAUCUGCAUCGUGACGGGGAUAGAUUAUUGCAAUUAUUAAUCUUCAACGAGGAAUGCCUAGUAGGCGCAAGUCAUCAGCUUGCGUCGAUUACGUCCCUGCCCUUUGUACACACCGCCCGUCGCUCCUACCGAUUGAAUGAUCCGAUGAAUAUCAUGGAUUGAGGAUGCAAGCAGGUUCGCCUGUCUUCAUCUUCGAGAAGUGAAGUAAAUCUUAUCAUUUAGAGGAAGGAGAAGUCGUAACA